rnacentral:rRNA from 1 species
UACGGAGGGUGCGAGCGUUGUCCGGAAUUAUUGGGCGUAAAGGGCUCGUAGGCGGUCUGUCGCGUCGGGUGUGAAAACUCAGGGCUUAACCCUGAGCCUGCUUCCGAUACGGGCAGACUAGAGGUAUGCAGGGGAGAACGGAAUUCCUGGUGUAGCGGUGAAAUGCGCAGAUAUCAGGAGGAACACCGGUGGCGAAGGCGGUUCUCUGGGCAUUACCUGACGCUGAGGAGCGAAAGUGUGGGGAGCGAACAGG